UGUUAAAAGUUUCAUCCAUUUAUAUUAUUAAAAAUCAGCAUGAUUAACAAAAUAACCAGACAAUGAAGCAUGGUGUGUCAUGUACAGCUCAUAUUGAUGUAUAAGAACUAAUUUUUAACAGUAAAAAUUGAUGUAAUUUUUAACA
rfam:Gossypium arboreum cultivar AKA8401 contig_28145_3, whole genome shotgun sequence.